rnacentral:rRNA from 1 species
UACAGAGGAUGCAAGCGUUAUCCGGAUUUACUGGGCGUAAAGCGUGUGCAGGCGGGGUGACAAGUGGUGUAUGAAAUAUCCCGGCUUAACCGGGAAGGGUUAUGCCAGACUGUCAUCCUAGAGUGCGAGAGAGGGGCGUGGAAUUCCGGGUGUAGUGGUGAAAUGCGUAGAGAUCCGGAGGAACCCCAGAGGCGAAGGCGGCGCCCUGGCUCGCAACUGACGCUCAGACACGACAGCAUGGGGAGCGAACGGG